rnacentral:rRNA from 1 species
UACAGAGGGUGCGAGCGUUAAUCGGAAUAACUGGGCGUAAAGGGCGAGUAGGCGGAUGAUUAAGUUAGAUGUGAAAGAUACGGGCUCAACCUGUGGAUGUCAUCUAAGACUGAUCAUCUAGAGAGCAGUAGAGGGGAGUGGAAUUUCCGGAGGAGCGGUGAAAUGCGUAGAUCUCGGAAGGAACACCGGUGGCGAAGGCGACUCUCUGGACUGUAACUGACGCUGAGGAGCGAAAGCGUGGGGAGCAAACAGG